rnacentral:rRNA from 1 species
CCCUUAGAUGUUCUGGGCUGCACGCGCGCUACACUGAUGCACUCAACGAGUUUACGACCUUGCCCGAUAGGGUUGGGUAAUCUUUUUAAAAUGCAUCGUGAUGGGGAUAGAUUAUUGCAAUUGUUCAUCUUCAACGAGGAAUACCUAGUAAACGCAAGUCAUCAACUUGCAUUGAUUACGUCCCUGCCCUUUGUACACACCGCCCGUCGCUCCUACCGAUGGAACGAUCCGGUGAAAACUCUGGAUUGGAGGGUUUGGUUGUUGCUUUGCAACACUACCCUUCGAGAAAUUGUUUGAAUCUUAUCGUUUAGAGGAAGGAGAAGUCGUAACA